rnacentral:lncRNA from 1 species
CUAACACAAAAGGCAGGAAAUAUGAGAUGUCGCCGUGACGCCACCAUGGCUACCUAGCCCCUCGCACCGCCAGGCUGCUGGCCAGGAACUGCUCUCCAAAGGCACAGAGCCAAUGUUCCGUUGAGAUUUCAAACUGAGAUUCUUUCCUCCCUGUUCCAGGUCAGGUGGGAGAAAUAAAGGGGUAUGUCAGAGCCUUCGGCACCAGCAGCGUCAUUUUGAGGAAAUCAUCUUAAACAUCAGAAAAAGCUCUCUGAACAAAACACAUCCACUACAUCACUCAUCAGGAACAUGCAGAACAUUGAACAAAAGGGAAAUAUUAAGUAAAUUAUGGCACAUCCGAUACUUGACUGGAAAAGCCUGAAGACAUUAACUGCCAUGUUUAUGAAGCACUGGUUACAAAACA